rnacentral:rRNA from 1 species
CCCUUAGAUGUUCUGGGCCGCACGCGCGCUACACUGACGAAUGCAACGAGCUUAUAACCUUGGCCGAAAGGUCUGGGUAAUCUCCAAAUUUCGUCGUGAUGGGGAUAGAUUAUUGCAAUUAUUAAUCUUCAACGAGGAAUGCCUAGUAAGCGCAAGUCAUCAGCUUCCGUUGAUUACGUCCCUGCCCUUUGUACACACCGCCCGUCGCUCCUACCGAUUGAAUGGUCCGGUGAAGCGUUCGGACCGUGGCCUUUGGACGGUUCGCCGUCUGUUGGCUGCGGGAAGUUCGUUAAACCUUAUCAUUUAGAGGAAGGAGAAGUCGUAACA